ACUUUGACCACGCACUCCCGAAGUACAGGAACAGCAGCUCGCCGUCAUUAAAAACUUCAGCGAUGACAGCUGCUUCUGAGGAAGCCUCAGACCACAUACCUUCGCGUUCAAGGCGCCGCUCCCCCUCCAACAGCUGCUGCCGGUGUCGGUGCUCCUCGUCUCUAGCCGUACCACGCCGCGACGGUAACUCCCAUGGCAAAACCGAGCAGCAGUCCUGCCAUCCCAGGAUUCAGGCUGGUGAACCUUCAUUACUGUCUCUGGUUGGCAAUUGUAUGAGAAGUUGUUUGAAAUAUGACAAUUCCAAAAAACAUCUCAGUACAACUUAACACCUUGACCAAAGUUCACUGUCAACCAACACUUGAGGAAGCUUAAACUGGGGAGGAAAUUUGUCUUUCAGCAGGACAACAACCCAAAGCACACUGCAAGAGCAACAAUGGAGUGGCUUCAGAUGAUGAAAAUUGAUGUCCCUGAGUGGCCCAGUCAGAGUACUGACCUUAAUCCAAACAUCUCCAGCAAGACAUCAAGAGCGCUGUCCUCCACCGCUCCCCAACUAACCUGGCACAUUCUGAGCAAUCUUGCUCCAUCAUAUUGUGCAAAGCUGAUAAAUACUUAUAAAGCUAGUAGAGACUUAUCUAAAAAGACAAUUAGCUGUAAUACUGUGAGAGGUGGUUCAACUCAGUACUGAGCAAAGGGAGAUGAAUACUUCUGACAUCCUGACAUUUCUAUUUUUAAAUACAGUAUUUAGUUUUUCAUGUUUUACAAAUUUCCCUGAUUUUUUUGGACUCUACUGUUGGGGGAGAAAAGGAGCGUGUGACUCACAAAU